rnacentral:rRNA from 1 species
AACCCUUGUCCUUAGUUACCAGCACGUUAUGGUGGGCACUCUAAGGAGACUGCCGGUGACAAACCGGAGGAAGGUGGGAUGACGUCAAGUCAUCAUGGCCCUUACGGCCUGGGCUACACACGUGCUACAAUGGUCGGUACAAAGGGUUGCCAAGCCGCGAGGUGGAGCUAAUCCCAUAAAACCGAUCGUAGUCCGGAUCGCAGUCUGCAGCUCGACUGCGUGAAGUCGGAAUCGCUAGUAAUCGUGAAUCAGAAUGUCACGGUGAAUACGUUCCCGGGCCUU